UGCGUAGGCGGGCUAAUAAGUCAGUGGUGAAAUCUUCCGGCUCAACCGGGAAACUGCCAUUGAUACUGUUAGUCUUGAGUUCGGUUGAGGUAGGCGGAAUGUGUAAUGUAGCGGUGAAAUGCUUAGAUAUUACACAGAACACCAAUUGCGUAGGCAGCUUACUAGACCGACACUGACGCUGAGGCACGAAAGCGUGGGGAGCGAACAGGAUUAGAUACCCUGGUAGUCC
rnacentral:rRNA from 1 species